UGUUUGGAGGUUGGAGGCCAAGCAUGUGGGAAGCAUUCCUCUGGGUUUGACCCAAGGAGCAGAUGGAAACAGGGACAAGGCACAAGGUGACUCUCCUGGCCAGUCAGUGGAGACCUGUCAGCUCCCUGCUUUCAGGCUCAUGCUUCAUCUUUCUCCCCGGUGACCCUGCCUCCAGUCUGCCUGUCUUCUGAGGAGAGUUGGGCUCUAACCGAAGACUUGGAUGAAUCACGCAAACCCCACAAUGGCCUGCCACUGGUUAGGGAGUGCCCUUAACUUGGCAUGCUUGCUGAGUGUUUGAGGUGUGGUGCUGAAUAAAAUCUUGUGCCACACACCCUGCCCUAAAA